CUUAAUAACCUUUCAAAUAUUUUACCAGCCACAGAAGUUAAGCUCACAGGUCUAUAAUUUCCAGGCAAGGAUUUUGAACCCUUUUUGAAUAUAGGAACCAAAUCUGCCUUCCUCCAAUCCUCCGGAACACUUCCUGAAAGAAAAGAAUCUUGAAAGAUUACAAACAGAGGUUCACUUAUUUCUGCACUUAGUUCCUUAAGUACACG